UGGGGAAUAUUGCACAAUGGGCGCAAGCCUGAUGCAGCCAUGCCGCGUGUAUGCAGAAGGCCUUCGCGUUGUAAAUUACUUUCAGCGAGGAGGAAGGCGUUGUGGUUAAUAACCGCAGCGAUUGACGUUACUCGCAGAAGAAGCAACGGCUAACUCCGUGCCAGCAGCCGCGGUAAUACGGAGGGUGCAAGCGUUAAUCGGAAUUACUGGGCGUAAAGCGCACGCAGGCGGUCUGUCAAGUCGGAUGUGAAAUCCCCGGGCUCAACCUGGGAACUGCAUCCGAAACUGGCAGGCUAGAGUCUUGUAGAGGGGGGUAGAAUGCCAGGUGUAGCGGUGAAAUGCGUAGAGAUCUGGAGGAAUACCGGUGGCGAAGGCGGCCCCCUGGACAAAGACUGACGCUCAGGUGCGAAAGCGUGGGGAGCAAACA
rnacentral:rRNA from 1 species